rnacentral:sRNA from 1 species
UCCUGAUCCUGGGCGUGCGGGAGCAGAGAGAACCCUAUGAAGCCCAGCAGGCUGAGCCGAUCGCCUACUUCCGGGGCCUACGGCUGGUCAUGAGCCACGGCCCAUACAUCAAACUUAUUACCGGCUUCCUCUUCACCUCCUUGGCUUUCAUGCUGGUGGAGGGGAACUUUGUCUUGUUUUGCACCUACACCUUGGGCUUCCGCAAUGAAUUCCAGAAUCUACUCCUGGCCAUCAUGCUCUCGGCCACUUUAACCAUUCCCAUCUGGCAGUGGUUCUUGACCCGGUUUGGCAAGAAGACAGCUGUAUAUGUUGGGAUCUCAGUGAGUGGGGUUGAAGAGCAGAGCCUGGGUUGAGUUGGGAUGUCUGGUGGGAACCUCCCAGCUGACUCAUCUUCCUGCACCCCCUUCCCUAGUCAGCAGUGCCAUUUCUCAUCUUGGUGGCCCUCAUGGAGAGUAACCUCAUCAUUACAUAUGCGGUAGCUGUGGCAGCUGGCAUCAGUGUGGCAGCUGCCUUCUUACUACCCUGGUCCAUGCUGCCUGAUGUCAUUGACGACUUCCAUCUGAAGCAGCCCCACUUCCAUGGAACCGAGCCCAUCUUCUUCUCCUUCUAUGUCUUCUUCACCAAGUUUGCCUCUGGAGUGUCACUGGGCAUUUCUACCCUCAGUCUGGACUUUGCAGGGUACCAGACCCGUGGCUGCUCGCAGCCGGAACGUGUCAAGUUUACACUGAACAUGCUCGUGACCAUGGCUCCCAUAGUUCUCAUCCUGCUGGGCCUGCUGCUCUUCAAAAUGUAC